rnacentral:rRNA from 1 species
ACUCCUACGGGAGGCAGCAGUGGGGAAUAUUGCACAAUGGGGAAAGCCCAUCGAUGCAGCCAUGCCGCGUGUGUGAAGAAGGCCAUUCGGGCUUGGUUAAAGACACUUUCAGUAGGGAGGAAGGUAGUGUAGUUAACACCUGCAUUAUUUGACGUUACCUACAGAAGAAGCACCGGCUAACUCCGUGCCAGCAGCCGCGGUAAUACGGAGGGUGCGAGCGUUAAUCGGAAUUACUGGGCGUAAAGCGCAUGCAGGCGGCCUGUU